rnacentral:rRNA from 1 species
UACGUAGGGAGCAAGCGUUGCCCGGAAUUACUGGGCGUAAAGAGCUCGUAGGCGGGGGCGUGCGUCCGAGAAGAAAUCUCAUGGCUCAACCAUGGGGCUAUCUCGGAUACGGCGCUUCUUGAGGGUGAGAGAGGAAAGCGGAAUUCCAGGUGUAGCGGUGAAAUGCGUAGAUAUCUGGAGGAACACCAGCGGCGAAGGCGGCUUUCUGGCUCAUUCCUGACGCUGAGGAGCGAAAGCGUGGGUAGCGAACGGGAUUAGAUACCCCGGUAGUCCACGCCGUAAACGAUGGAUACUAGGUGUAGGAGGUAUCGACCCCUUCUGUGCCGGAGUUAACACAUUAAGUAUCCCGCCUGGGGAGUACGGUCGCAAGGCUGAA